rnacentral:rRNA from 1 species
UACAGAGGGUGCGAGCGUUGUUCGGAAUUAUUGGGCGUAAAGGGCGCGUAGGCGGUGCGGUAAGUCACCUGUGAAAUCUCCUGGCUCAACUGGGAGCUUGCAGGCGAAACUGCCGUGCUGGAGUGUGGGAGAGGAUCGUAGAAUUUCUGAAGUAGGGAUGAAAUCCGGUCACAUCAGAAGGAAUACCAAAGGCGAAAGCAACGAUCUGGCUAUGACUGACGCUCAGAGACGAAAGCAUGGGGAGCGAAUGGG